rnacentral:rRNA from 1 species
UGGGGAAUAUUGCACAAUGGGCGCAAGCCUGAUGCAGCCAUGCCGCGUGUGUGAAGAAGGCUCUAGGGUUGUAAAGCACUUUCAGUGGGGAGGAAAGGUGAUAAGUUAAUAGCUUAUUGCUGUGACGUUACCCACAGAAGAAGCACCGGCUAACUCCGUGCCAGCAGCCGCGGUAAUACGGAGGGUGCAAGCGUUAAUCGGAAUUACUGGGCGUAAAGCGCGCGUAGGCGGAUAAUUAAGUCGGAUGUGAAAUCCCCGGGCUCAACCUGGGAACUGCAUCCGAUACUGGUUAUCUAGAGUACGAUAGAGGGUGGUAGAAUUUCUUGUGUAGCGGUGAAAUGCGUAGAUAUAAGAAGGAAUACCAGUGGCGAAGGCGGCCACCUGGAUCGAUACUGACGCUGAGGUGCGAAAGCGUGGGGAGCAAACAGG